rnacentral:misc_RNA from 1 species
UCCGGCUUAUCACCGGCAGUUUCCCCAGAGUUCUCGGCAUUACCCGUUAGCAACAGGGGACGAGGGUUGCGCUCGUUGCGGGACUUAACCCAACAUCUCACGACACGAGCUGACGACAGCCAUGCAGCACCUGUGCUCCUCCCACCCGAGGUGAAGGGACCAAUCUCUUGGUCCCACAGAGGGCAUGUCAAGGCCUGGUAAGGUUCUUCGCGUUGCCUCGAAUUAAACCACAUGUUCCACCGCUUGUGCGGGUCCCCGUCAAUUCCUUUGAGUUUUAAUCUUGCGACCGUACUCCCCAGGCGGGAUGCUUAUCGCGUUAGCUUCGCCACCGAGGGGUAACCCCCCGACGGCUAGCAUCCAUCGUUUACAGCGUGGACUAC